rnacentral:rRNA from 1 species
CCUACGGGAGGCAGCAGUGGGGGAUAUUGCACAAUGGGGGAAACCCUGAUGCAGCGACGCCGCGUGUGGGAAGACGGUCCUCUGGAUUGUAAACCACUGUCCCCAGGGACGAAGAUGACGGUACCUGGGGAGGAAGCUCCGGCUAACUACGUGCCAGCAGCCGCGGUAAUACGUAGGGGGCGAGCGUUGUCCGGAUUUACUGGGUGAAAAGGGAGCGUAGGCGGGGAUGCAAGUUGAGUGUCAAAACUACCGGCUCAACUGGGAGUCGCACUCAAAACUGCAGCUCUUGAGUGAAGUAGAGGCAGGCGGAAUUCCUAGUGUAGCGGUGAAAUGCGUAGAUAUUAGGAGGAACACCAGUGGCGAAGGCGGCCUGCUGGGCUUUUACUGACGCUGAGGCUCGAAAGUGUGGGGAGCAAACAGGAUUAGAUACCCGAGUAGUC